GGACGAACGCUGGCGGCGUGCCUAAUACAUGCAAGUCGAGCGAUGAAUGAAGAUAGCUUGCUAUCUAUAUGAAGAGCGGCGAACGGGUGAGUAACGCGUGGGAAAUCUACCGAGUAGCGGGGGACAACGUUUGGAAACGAACGCUAAUACCGCGUAACAAUGAGAGUCGCAUGAUUCUUAUUUGAAAGAAGCAAUUGCUUCACUGCUUGAUGAUCCCGCGUUGUAUUAGCUAGUUGGUAGUGUAAAGGACUACCAAGGCGAUGAUACAUAGCAGACCUGAGAGGGUGAUCGGCCACACUGGGACUGAGACACGGCCCAGACUCCUACGGGAGGCAGCAGUAGGGAAUCUUCGGCAAUGGGGGCAACCCUGACCGGGCAACGCCGCGUGAGUGAAGAAGGUUUUCGGAUCGUAAAACUCUGUUGUUAGAGAAGAACGUUAAGUAGAGUGGAAAGUUACUUAAGUGACGGUAUCUAACCAGAAAGGGACGGCUAACUACGUGCCAGCAGCCGCGGUAAUACGUAGGUCCCAAGCGUUGUCCGGACUUAUUGGGCGUAAAGCGAGCGCAGGUGGUUUCUUAAGUCUGGUGUAAAAGGCAGUGGCUCAACCAUUGUGUGCAUUGGGAACUGGGAGACUUGAGUGCAGGAGAGGAGAGUGGAAUUCCAUGUGUAGCGGUGAAAUGCGUAGAUAUAUGGAGGAACACCGGAGGCGAAAGCGGCUCUCUGGCCUGUAACUGACACUGAGGCUCGAAAGCGUGGGGAGCAAACAGGAUUAGAUACCCUGGUAGUCCACGCCGUAAACGAUGAGUGCUAGCUGUAGGGAGCUAUAAGUUCUCUGUAGCGCAGCUAACGCAUUAAGCACUCCGCCUGGGGAGUACGACCGCAAG
rnacentral:rRNA from 1 species